UACGAAGGGUGCAAGCGUUAUUCGGAAUCACUGGGCGUAAAGGGUGUGUAGACGGUACAUUAAGUUCGUUGUUAAAGGCUCCGGCCUAACUGGAGUAUUGCAAUGAAAACUGGUGAGCUAGAGGGUGAGAGAGAGAAGUGGAAUUCCUGGAGUAGCGGUAAAAUGCGUGGAUCUCAGGAGGAACACCAAUGGCGAAGGCAGCUUCUUGGCUCAUUCCUGACGUUGAGGCACGAAAGCGUGGGGAGCAAACAGG
rnacentral:rRNA from 1 species